rnacentral:rRNA from 1 species
AUGUACAUUCCUAUAACAUUAAUGCAUCGGAUCCCAUCAAAACUCUGUGGUUAAGCACACUUGGGCUAGAGUAGUACUAGAAUAGGUGACCUCCCGUGAAGUCCUAGUGUGUUACAUU